rnacentral:rRNA from 1 species
AGUGAACGCUGGCGGUAGGCCUAACACAUGCAAGUCGAACGGCAGCACAGUAAGAGCUUGCUCUUACGGGUGGCGAGUAGCGGACGGGUGAGGAAUACAUCGGAAUCUACUUUUUCGUGGGGGAUAACGUAGGGAAACUUACGCUAAUACCGCAUACGACCUACGGGUGAAAGCAGGGGAUCUUCGGACCUUGCGCGAUUGAAUGAGCCGAUGUCGGAUUAGCUAGUUGGCGGGGUAAAGGCCCACCAAGGCGACGAUCCGUAGCUGGUCUGAGAGGAUGAUCAGCCACACUGGAACUGAGACACGGUCCAGACUCCUACGGGAGGCAGCAGUGGGGAAUAUUGGACAAUGGGCGAAAGCCUGAUCCAGCCAUACCGCGUGGGUGAAGAAGGCCUUCGGGUUGUAAAGCCCUUUUGUUGGGAAAGAAAAGCAGCAGGUUAAUACCCCGCUGUUCUGACGGUACCCAAAGAAUAAGCACCGGCUAACUUCGUG